CGAGCUCCGAUCCCGUAUCAAUCAGCGAAAUCGGCCAUCCCGGCAAGUAAAGCUCUUCUCCAUGGUACAGGCGGUCCAGCUGCUGCCAGAACGCUUAGAUCUCAGCAGGCGACAUCAUGCGGCCAGAGAACUUGACCUUGAUGGGGUUGACGUUCUGGCCGAUGCGGCGCAUGUUCUGGUUCGCGCCCACGCGGCCAGCGUUCACCUUCUCGGGGUAGACGCCGUCAGCAGGGUGCAGGUACUGCACCUUGCCGUCGGGGAAGACGCGGUAGAAGCAGGGGGUCAGCUUGAACUUGUUGCGGAGCUGGGUCGUCAGGGCGAGGCACUGCUCCUUCUUGCCGAACUUCAGCAGGUUGGGGCCCUGGCGCAUGAUAGCGGCACCGCCAGUGGGCAUCUCGAAGAUCUGCUCCUUCUUAGCCUCCCAGGUGAUGACGUAGAACUCCUCAGUCUGAGCCUUGCGCAGCAGACCGCCGGUGCUGCCACCGAAAAUCGGGCUGGGAGUGUCGGGGUUCAGGGUCGGCACAGUCCAGGCGGGCUUCUCAGCAGCCUUCUUGGCAGCAGCAGGGGCAGCCUCAGCCUCGGCGCGGACCACCACGGCGCGGCGAGCAGCCGGGCGAGCGGCAACAGCGACGCGCGAUGAAGCGCGAGUGGCAGCGGGCGCCUGGGUGCGCAUCAUGACGGCCAUUUUGGCUUGUUGUGAGUAGCAGUGGGGUC
rnacentral:lncRNA from 1 species